CCCUACCGGAGGCAGCAGUGGGGAAUAUUGCACAAUGGGCGCAAGCCUGAUGCAGCCAUGCCGCGUGUAUGAAGAAGGCUUUCGGGUUGUAAAGUACUUUCAGCGGGAGGAAGAGGCGAGGUUAAUAAGUUAUCCAUGACGUACCUGCAGAA
rnacentral:rRNA from 1 species